rnacentral:piRNA from 1 species
UCACUGUUGUCUCACAGCAAAAGCGGC